ACAAGCCCUGGAAACGGGGUCUAAUACCGGAUAUGAGCCUGGGAGGCAUCUCCCGGGUUGUAAAGCUCCGGCGGUGAAGGAUGAGCCCGCGGCCUAUCAGCUUGUUGGUGAGGUAAUGGCUCACCAAGGCGACGACGGGUAGCCGGCCUGAGAGGGCGACCGGCCACACUGGGACUGAGACACGGNCCANACUNAUACGGGAGGCAGCAGUGGGGAAUAUUGCACAAUGGGCGAAAGCCUGAUGCAGCGACGCCGCGUGAGGGAUGACGGCCUUCGGGUUGUAAACCUCUUUCAGCAGGGAAGAAGCGAAAGUGACGGUACCUGCAGAAGAAGCGCCGGCUAACUACGUGCCAGCAGCCGCGGUAAUACGUAGGGCGCAAGCGUUGUCCGGAAUUAUUGGGCGUAAAGAGCUCGUAGGCGGCUUGUCACGUCGAUUGUGAAAGCCCGAGGCUUAACCUCGGGUCUGCAGUCGAUACGGGCUAGCUAGAGUGUGGUAGGGGAGAUCGGAAUUCCUGGUGUAGCGGUGAAAUGCGCAGAUAUCAGGAGGAACACCGGUGGCGAAGGCGGAUCUCUGGGCCAUUACUGACGCUGAGGAGCGAAAGCGUGGGGAGCGAACAGGAUUAGAUACCCUGGUAGUCCACGCCGUAAACGGUGGGAACUAGGUGUUGGCGACAUUCCACGUCGUCGGUGCCGCAGCUAACGCAUUAAGUUCCCCGCCUGGGGAGUACGGCCGCAAGGCUAAAACUCAAAGGAAUUGACGGGGGCCCGCACAAGCGGCGGAGCAUGUGGCUUAAUUCGACGCAACGCGAAGAACCUUACCAAGGCUUGACAUACACCGGAAACGUCUGGAGACAGGCGCCCCCUUGUGGUCGGUGUACAGGUGGUGCAUGGCUGUCGUCAGCUCGUGUCGUGAGAUGUUGGGUUAAGUCCCGCAACGAGCGCAACCCUUGUUCUGUGUUGCCAGCAUGCCCUUCGGGGUGAUGGGGACUCACAGGAGACCGCCGGGGUCAACUCGGAGGAAGGUGGGGACGACGUCAAGUCAUCAUGCCCCUUAUGUCUUGGGCUGCACACGUGCUACAAUGGCCGGUACAAUGAGCUGCGAUACCGUGAGGUGGAGCGAAUCUCAAAAAGCCGGUCUCAGUUCGGAUUGGGGUCUGCAACUCGACCCCAUGAAGUA
rnacentral:rRNA from 1 species